GUGAGGAAUAUUGGGCAAUGGGCGAAAGCCUGACCCAGCCACGCCGCGUGAGUGAUGAAGGCCUUCGGGUUGUAAACUGCUUUUGUACGGAACGAAACGGUCCUGGUUAAUACCUGGGGCUAAUGACGGUACCGUAAGAAUAAGCACCGGCUAACUACGUGCCAGCAGCCGCGGUAAUACGUAGGGUGCGAGCGUUAAUCGGAAUUACUGGGCGUAAAGCGUGCGCAGGCGGUGCUGUAAGACAGGCGUGAAAUCCCCGGGCUCAACCUGGGAAUUGCGCUUGUGACUGCAGUGCUGGAGUACGGCAGAGGGGGAUGGAAUUCCGCGUGUAGCAGUGAAAUGCGUAGAUAUGCGGAGGAACACCGAUGGCGAAGGCAGUCCCCUGGGCCUGUACUGACGCUCAUGCACGAAAGCGUGGGGAGCAAACAGGAUUAGAAACCCUAGUAGUCC
rnacentral:rRNA from 1 species